rnacentral:rRNA from 1 species
UCGGGAAUAUUGCGCAAUGGAGGAAACUCUGACGCAGUGACGCCGCGUGCAGGAAGAAGGUUUUCGGAUUGUAAACUGCUUUAGACAGGGAAGAAACAAGACAGUACCUGUAGAAUAAGCUCCGGCUAACUACGUGCCAGCAGCCGCGGUAAUACGUAGGGAGCGAGCGUUAUCCGGAUUUAUUGGGUGUAAAGGGUGCGUAGACGGGAUAAUAAGUUAGUUGUGAAAUCCCUCGGCUUAAACUGAGGAACUGCAACUAAAACUGUUAUUCUUGAGUACUGGAGAGGAAAGUGGAAUUCCUAGUGUAGCGGUGAAAUGCGUAGAUAUUAGGAGGAACACCAGUGGCGAAGGC